GACGAACGCUGGCGGUGUGCUUAACACAUGCAAGAGGAGCGACGAACCAGAGCUUGCUCUGGGGCAGAGCCGCGAACGGGUGAGUAACACGUGGGUAACCUACCCUGAUGACUGGGACAACCCGAGGAAACUCGGGCUAAUACCGGAUGUGCUCUCCUCUCACGAGAGAGGCGAGUAAAGGAAGCUUCGGCCUCCGCAUCAGGAGGGGCCCGCGGCCCAUUAGUUUGUUGGUGGGGUAACGGCCUACCAAGACUGCGAUGGGUAGCUGGUCUGAGCGGACGAUCAGCCACACUGGGACUGGGACACGGCCCAGACUCCUACGGGAGGCAGCAGUGGGGAAUCUUGCGCAAUGCGCGACAGCGUGACGCAGCAACACCGCGUGGGGGAAGAAGGCCUUCGGGUUGUAAACCCCUUUCAGGAGGGACGAAGGCCGGCCGGUGAAUAGCCGUGCCGGUUGACGGUACCUCCACAAGAAGCCCCGGCUAACUACGUGCCAGCCGCCGCCGUAA
rnacentral:rRNA from 1 species